UACGUAGGGGGCAAGCGUUGUCCGGAAUCAUUGGGCGUAAAGCGCGUGUAGGCGGUUCGAUUAGUCUGCUGUGAAAGUCGGGGGCUCAACCCUCGAAUGCCGGUGGAUACUGUCGGGCUAGAGUGCGGAAGGGCAACUGGAAUUCUCGGUGUAGCGGUGAAAUGCGUAGAUAUCGAGAGGAACACCUGCGGCGAAGGCGGGUUGCUGGGCUGAUACUGACGCUGAGGCGCGAAAGCCAGGGAGCGAACGGG
rnacentral:rRNA from 1 species